rnacentral:rRNA from 1 species
GCAUAAUCAUUUGCCUUUUAAUUAGAGGCUUGUAUGAACGGACACACGUAAGCUAAGCUGUCUCAUUAAUAACUAUAAAAAUUAACCUCUAGGUGAAGAGACCUAGAUCAUAUAAAAAGACGAAAAGACCCUAUGGAGCUUUACUUACGUUUGAAACUAAAUAAAAAUAUAAAAAAUAUAAUUUUCUUAUAAAGUUUAGUUGGGGCGACUAAGGAGCACAAAAAACCCUCCUCUUAAUAAAAGAAAAUAACUCUUCUAUAGAUCCGCCUAAGCGAAUAAAAAAUCAGCUACCCUAGGGAUAACAGGCUAAUCCUCCUUGAGAGCCCAAAUUGACAGGAGGGGUUGGCACCUCGAUGUUGGCUUAAGGUUCCUCCAAAGUGCAGCAGCUUUGAAAGUAGGUUUGUUCACCCUUUAAAACCUU